rnacentral:rRNA from 1 species
CCUACGGGCGGCUGCAGUGGGGAAUAUUGGGCAAUGGAGGCAACUCUGACCCAGCAACGCCGCGUGAAUGAUGAAGGUCUUCGGAUUGUAAAGUUCUGUGAUGGGGGAUGAACACAAUGACGGUACCCCAAUAGCAAGCCACGGCUAACUACGUGCCAGCAGCCGCGGUACUACGUCGGUGGCAAGCGUUAACCGGAAUUACUGGGCGUAAAGGGUGCGUAGGUGGUUUGCUAAGUUGGCGGUGUAAUUCCGGGGCUUAACCUGGGCACUGCCGCCAAAACUAGUAAACUGGAGUGUAGGAGGGGUAAGUGGAAUUCCAGGUGUAGGGGUGAAAUGCGUAGAUAUUAGGAGGAACAUCAGGGGCGAAGGCGACUAACUGGACUAUAACUGACGCUGAGGCACGAAAGCGUGGGUAGCAAACAGGAUUAGAUACCCGAGUAGUC